rfam:Natronorubrum tibetense GA33 contig_56, whole genome shotgun sequence.
AGCGGGAUAGGAUAGCUCGGAGAUUCCGCUAGGCUCAUGACCUGGAGAUCGGUGGUUCAAGUCCACCUCCCGCUA